AAAUAUUUGAUUUAUAUCAAUAAAGAAUUUCGUAUCUGUUCUUAUCAGCUUAAUAUCUGAUACGUUUCCCAUUAGGAAACCAGAAUAUUAAACUGAUUUUUGGAACUUAGCGGAGUGACUGGGGCUUGCUCCGGCUCUGCCGCGGGUUGGCCUAGUAUUGCAAUACAUCCCCCCCCCCAGGUGUCGCCACCUGGC